rnacentral:rRNA from 1 species
GAUGAACGCUGGCGGCGUGCCUAAUACAUGCAAGUCGAGCGAACAGAUGAGGAGCUUGCUCCUCUGACGUUAGCGGCGGACGGGUGAGUAACACGUGGAUAACCUACCUAUAAGACUGGGAUAACUUCGGGAAACCGGAGCUAAUACCGGAUAAUAUAUUGAACCGCAUGGUUCAAUAGUGAAAGACGGUUUUGCUGUCACUUAUAGAUGGAUCCGCGCCGCAUUAGCUAGUUGGUAAGGUAACGGCUUACCAAGGCAACGAUGCGUAGCCGACCUGAGAGGGUGAUCGGCCACAUUGGAACUGAGACACGGUCCAGACUCCUACGGGAGGCAGCAGUAGGGAAUCGUCCGCAAUGGGCGAAAGCCUGACGGAGCAACGCCGCGUGAGUGAUGAAGGUCUUCGGAUCGUAAAACUCUGUUAUUAGGGAAGAACAAAUGUGUAAGUAACUAUGCACGUCUUGACGGUACCUAAUCAGAAAGCCACGGCUAACUACGUG